ensembl:lncRNA
AUCUAUAAAAAUGUAGACCUGAUACUGGGAAAGACUGAAGGCAAAAGGAGAAGAGGGCGGCAGAGGAUGAAAUGGGUAGAUGGCAUCACAGACUCAAUGGACGUGAAUUUGAGGAAACUCUGGGAGAUACUGAAGGACAGGAAAGGUUGGCGUACUGCAGUCCAUGAGGUUGCAAAGAGUCAGAUAUGACUUAGUGAGUGAAAACAACAGCAAUUUUUAGUCUUUUUUUUUAAGUCUUUAUUGAAUUUAUUACAAUAUUGCUUCUGUUUUGUUUUGGGUUUUUUGAGGAGGUGGCUGUGAGGCAUGUGGGAUCUUAGCUCCCCAACCAGGGAUCGAACCCAUACCUCCUGCAUUGGAAGGCAAAGUUCUAACUGCUGGACUGCCAGGAAGUCCCCAGCUCUUCCUCAUUUCAAAGCCCUGUGGUUUCUGGGGAUGUGUGAGCACCCUAGAGCUGCUGUCUCCACUUGUGGUUUGUGCUUUUGUGCUUUCACCCCUGGGGCUAGAUGGUGGGAUUAGAGAUAGAUGAGAUAGUCCUGGCAAGGCUGGGAAGAUGCAGGCUCCUGUGGACUAGGGGUCAGCACACAGGGAACAGAGAUAAUUUGGUCAAAUGUUCUACACUAGAGUACCACCUUUCAAGAUUCCUCUUCCUUGGGAAGUCCCUGGCCAUCCAGUGGUUAAGACUCUGUGCUUUCAGUGACGAGGCCCCAGGUCUGACCCUUGGUCUGGGAACUAAGAUCCCACAAGCUGGACAGCACAAAGGGCUGGGGGUGGGGAGGAAUGCUUCCUCCUUGAAGCCUUCCCUGACCGCUUCAUUCUCUUACUAAAGAGUUCUUGGGGCCUAAGAAGCUGCAGCUUAGCCUCAGUGAGCUGUGUUCCGUUUCUGCAUACAGUAGGGGCCGACCAUCUAGUGACCACGGAGUCUUUUUCAAAGAGCUUUCCCAUGUGUUAUCUCAUUUAAUCCUCCUAACAGCCCUGGGAAGG